CCAAGGGAUGGGAUUAAAGGCAUGCACUACCACUGUUCAACUUAUUUAUGUAUUACUUAUGGCUACUUUCCCCUACCACAGGAGAAGUCAGAAUGUAUACCAAGACAACCAGGCCCUCAAGCUUAAGAUAUGUUCUCUGUAACAGGAAGAGCUUGCUGACCCCUGGGUUAGAAUCCUCCUGCCAUUGUUCUGAAGCGCCCAGUGAGGCUGUGAGGGCUGCUACUACGAUUUCACUGCCAGGAAAGGAACGCAAGGCACCUGCUCUCCAGAUCCCGUCCGCCCGGAUGAUGUCCCCAUCGCUGCGUGCUCACCUGUGCGGCAUCCCGGUGGUGUGUGCCGUGGUGUGCUCGCUGGACAGCUCGCAGAGCUUUAGGUACCAGUUCAUCUCCACCUCCCGCAGCAGGGCCAGCUGCCUUGCCCUGAGCUGGCUUUGCCCGGUUGGGCUGAGGCUGCUGUCUUUGGCAUUCUCGGGGGCUUUCUUGGGAGAUCUGUCUUUCCCCCCUGAAGAAAGGCCAGACUGCUUUCUGAACUUGCUGUUGUCUUCGGAGAUCUGACUCCCUGCAGCGCCUGUGCGGGCUGCCAGCAUCCUGGAAGUUCCUAUCUGCCUGUCUGGGAAGAGGCUAAGCGACUGUCAUUAAAGUAAUUUGAAUUGAUUUCUGUUUCUGUCUCCCUCCGCUGCCCUGUCUUCCCGCCCCCCACCUUAACCUUAUCCUGCCACGGACCUGUAACUGAGCCUGCUGCACUUGGGAUGAAAGGCUAUCUACCUCUAAAGUUUCCUGGGGCGGAGAGGAAAUGCGGCCGCUACCUGUCACUUCUUGGAAUAUGGAAAUUCAAGAGCAAGUCUCCAAAACUUUAUUAUUCUGAAGUUUAUGAAUUAUAUCUGCUUUAAAGUUAGGAAUAUGACUUCUAACUUUUACCUUAGACAAUAAGAUUUAGGUAAAUUAUAUUCCAUUGCUACAUUAGAGUUGCAUUUUGUUUUGCUUUGCUCUUUUUUUUUUUUAAAUAAAAGCCCUCUUAAGACUCACCA